rnacentral:rRNA from 1 species
UACAGAGGUCCCAAGCGUUGUUCGGAUUCACUGGGCGUAAGGGUGCGUAGGUGGCCAGGUAAGUUUGGUGUGAAAGCUCGGAGCUUAACUCCGAAAAGUCAUUGAAUACUAUCUGGCUGGAGGGUCGGAGGGGAGACUGGAAUUCUCGGUGUAGCAGUGAAAUGCGUAGAUAUCAGGAGGAACACCGGUGGCGAAGGCGGGGUCUCUGGGCCGUAACUGACGCUGAGGAGCGAAAGCAUGGGGAGCGAACAGG